rnacentral:lncRNA from 1 species
GAACUAUAUUUCUAUGUUACAUACAGUCGACUCUCGUUAUGUCGAAGUCAGCCGGACCAGAGAAAUAUUUCGAGAUACACGUAGUUCGACUCAAACGAACACCGGAAGUUCGACAAUCUAAGGGACACAACUCUUGCUUAGCUUGGUAAAGCUAAAAUAAAUCCGGGUGAAUAUGACAUAGGAUCGAUAUUCUAGUAUCAGAUCAAUGUAUUUGUAUGUCACAGUCUUUUAUUAUUAUAAUGACUGUUAUUUUUACUUAUUCAAUUGUUUCAAUUAAAAAAAAAUCCUAUAGCUUUUCCAAGAGAGUAAUUUCCAAUCGACAGUUUCGUAAUUCAGGUCGCUAAUAGCUGACAAAAUUGUUUAUUCUCGGAUACAAGAGAUUUAAGAAAAUUUUGAUUUCUAUUCAUUUUGUUUUAUCUCACUCUUUGUUUUCAAAAGAACAUAUAAUAAGAUUAAAGACGCCGUUUG